rnacentral:rRNA from 1 species
AGAGUUUGAUCCUGGCUCAGGAUGAACGCUAGCGGCAGGCUUAAUACAUGCAAGUCGAGGGGUAACAUUGGAGCUUGCUUCAGAUGACGACCGGCGCACGGGUGCGUAACGCGUAUGCAACCUACCUAUUACAUGGGGAUAGCCCGAGGAAACUCGGAUUAAUAUCCAAUAGUAUAAUAAUAUCGCAUGAUAUAAUUAUUAAAGAUUUAUUGGUAAUAGAUGGGCAUGCGUACCAUUAGAUAGUUGGUGAGGUAAUGGCUCACCAAGUCAGCGAUGGUUAGGGGGCCUGAGAGGGUGAUCCCCCACACUGGUACUGAGAUACGGACCAGACUCCUACGGGAGGCAGCAGUAGGGAAUAUUGGUCAAUGGGCGAGAGCCUGAACCAGCCAUGCCGCGUGCAGGAAGACGGCCUUCUGGGUUGUAAACUGCUUUUGACAGGGAAGAAAACGGCCAUGCGUGGCUAACUGACGGUACCUGUAGAAUAAGCACCGGCUAACUCCGUGCCAGCAGCCGCGGUAAUACGGAGGGUGCAAGCGUUGUCCGGAUUUAUUGGGUUUAAAGGGUGCGUAGGUGGUUUAUUAAGUCAGUGGUGAAAUCCUACAGCUUAACUGUGGAACUGCCAUUGAUACUGGUAAACUUGAGUAUUGUUGAGGCAGGCGGAAUUUAUGGUGUAGCGGUGAAAUGCAUAGAUACCAUAAAGAACACC